rnacentral:rRNA from 1 species
GUGUCCGUCNRCCGAUUGCGGUACGACAGGCACGUCNGCGGGGCUUCUCGCCGGUGCGUAAACCGCCGAAGCGCGUCGGUCGUUCCCGAAAGGGUCGUGCCGCUCGCGCGUAGGCGGAACGUUGCGGCUGUUUACUUUGAACAAAUUAGAGUGCUCAAAGCGGGCUAACACUCGCCUGAAUAUUGUACGCAUGGAAUAAUAGAAUAGGACCUCGGUUCUGUUUUGUUGGCUUUCUGAUACCAGAGGUAAUGAUUAAUAGGGACAGCUGGGGGCAUUCGUAUUGCGACGUUAGAGGUGAAAUUCUUGGAUCGUCGCAAGACGGACUAAAGCGAAAGCAUUUGCCAAAGUGUUUUCAUUAAUCAAGAACGAAAGUUAGAGGUUCGAAGGCGAUUAGAUACCGCUGUAGUUCUAACCAUAAAUGAUGCCAGCCAGCGAUCCGCCGAAGUUUCAUAAUCUUAACCCGGUGGGCAGCUCCCGGAAACCAAAGCUUC